GUGGCAUUAGCUCAAUUGGCAGAGCAUUAGGUUGUGGUUCUAAGGGUUACGAGUUCAAGUCUCGUAUGUCACCCA
rnacentral:tRNA from 1 species